CCCUUAGAUGUUCUGGGCCGCACGCGCGCUACACUGGUGCAUUCAUCGCGUUCUCUCCUUGACCGACAGGUCUGGGUAAUCGUCUCAACGUGCACCGUGUUAGGGAUAGACUAUUGCAAUUGUUAGUCUUGAACGAGGAAUUCCUAGUAAACGCAAGUCAUCAGCUUGCAUUGAUUACGUCCCUGCCCUUUGUACACACCGCCCGUCGCAGCUCCUGAUUGAAUGAUUAAGUGAGAUUUUUGGAUUUGCUUGCUGCUGUCUUUGUUGCCGGCGUCGAGCGAAGAAGAGAACCAAACUUAGUCAUUUAGAGGGAGCUGAAGUCGUAACA
rnacentral:rRNA from 1 species